rnacentral:rRNA from 1 species
CACGUAGGGUGCGAGCGUUGUCCGGAAUUAUUGGGCGUAAAGAGCUCGUAGGCGGUCUGUCGCGUCGGCUGUGAAAACCCGGGGCUCAACCCCGGGCCUGCAGUCGAUACGGGCAGACUAGAGUGCGGUAGGGGAGACUGGAAUUCCUGGUGUAGCGGUGAAAUGCGCAGAUAUCAGGAGGAACACCGGUGGCGAAGGCGGGUCUCUGGGCCGUAACUGACGCUGAGGAGCGAAAGCGUGGGGAGCGAACAGG